UACGUAGGGUGCAAGCGUUAAUCGGAAUUACUGGGCGUAAAGCAUGCGCAGGCGGUUUUGUAAGUCUGAUGUGAAAUCCCCGGGCUCAACCUGGGAAUUGCAUUGGAGACUGCAAGGCUAGAAUCUGGUAGAGGGGGGUAGAAUUCCACGUGUAGCAGUGAAAUGCGUAGAGAUGUGGAGGAACACCGAUGGCGAAGGCAGCCCCCUGGGUCAAGAUUGACGCUCAUGCACGAAAGCGUGGGGAGCAAACAGG
rnacentral:rRNA from 1 species